UCGGGAAUUUUGGGCAAUGGGCGAAAGCCUGACCCAGCAACGCCGCGUGAGGGAUGAAGUAUUUCGGUAUGUAAACCUCGAAAGAAUGGGAAGAAUAAAUGACGGUACCAUUUAUAAGCUCCGGCUAACUACGUGCCAGCAGCCGCGGUAAUACGUAGGGAGCAAGCGUUGUUCGGAUUUACUGGGCGUAAAGGGCGCGUAGGCGGCGCGGUAAGUCACUUGUGAAAUCUCUGAGCUUAACUCAGAACGGCCAAGUGAUACUGCUGUGCUAGAGUGCGGAAGAGGCCACCGGAAUUCUCGGUGUAGCGGUGAAAUGCGUAGACAUCAAGAGGAACACCUGAGGCGAAGGCGGGUUGCUGGGCCGACACUGACGCUGAUGCGCGA
rnacentral:rRNA from 1 species